GGGCUGUCGGAGCGGCUGAAGCUGGAGAGUAGUUACACGCGCAGGACGAAGCCAGCCCGAGGACAGGGGCUCCUCAGAGCACGGGGACGAGCCGUUGCAGCUUGUUAACUGAUUGUGGGCAGCGAGGCGAAAUCAGCCAACCUCUCGAGAAGUUCAUUUUCGCUGCCGAAGUUGCCAGGAGGUGGCUCGGGAGCAGGCUUCAACUGCGUAAGAGGCAAAUCUGACUAUCAGGAUGAACCAGCCGUCCAAACCCUCUGCUCGGAACCGGCAGAAAUCUAUCCUGUGAUGUGCAAAACAAAGUGAAUUAUUUUUAAAAGAAAAAGAUAACCAAAAAAGAAAAAAAGAAUGAUUCAUCAUUGUCAGUGCUGCUCUGAGGAGCAAGCGAAGCUGGAUUCACACACCUGACCCUCCACACGUGAUCAUCAUAUCUGCGCUAGGACCAGGUCUUGAGAACCACGGAGGAAACAAUGGAUAAAGGACAGAAACAUACUUGACCACGGCGUCACACUGUGCUGGGUUUUCGGAUAUAAAACUGCUGAUUUAUCACCUUCAGAAAUGACUCAGUGUGCACUAGAUAUUUCUCUGGCCUGAAGUUUCAGGCUGUGUCUCCCCUCCACUCAGAGAAGCCUCCCUUGACCAGCUCCUGUAAGUUUUCCCCUGCGCACCUCCCUGUGGAUUUUCUUCACAACCUUUAUCCCCAUCGGAAGCGAUCCUGUUCACUUGUUUUUUACUGCUUUGUGUCCUGCCUGCCAGUCAUUGCCAUAAGAGGAUCAGGAAAGCAGGAACCUGGUGUGACUUGUUUAUUGCUGCUUCUCGAGCGCUAGCAUAAUACCUGGCACGUAAUCAGAGCUCAGUACGGUAGAUGUUUGUUGAAUCACUUAAUGACUUUCAAUUGGCAUCAAAGCCACAGAGAUGAUCAAAAUCCUAAUAGGCCACUGCAAAUAUAGUAUGCUACUUUUAUAAAGGAAAUACCUACUGAGACAGUCUAUGCUAAUAUUUGGUCUAAUUCCUUUUUAUUAUCAACUUAAUCUUG